rnacentral:rRNA from 1 species
GUGACAAGGGAACUCUGAGUGCCCGUAAAAUCGGGCUGUCCAUCGGUUUAAAUAACCGGUGAAGAAAGGGCCGGGCAAGACCGGUGCCAGCCGCCGCGGUAAUACCGGCGGCUCGAGUGGUGGCCACUAUUACUGGGCUUAAAGCGUUCGUAGCUGGUUUGUUAAGUCUCUGGGGAAAUCUUCCGGCUUAACCGGAAGGCGUCUCAGGGAUACUGGCAGACUAGGGACCGGGAGAGGUGAGAGGUACUCCAGGGGUAGGAGUGAAAUCCUGUAAUCCUUGGGGGACCACCUGUGGCGAAGGCGUCUCACCAGAACGGCUCCGACAGUGAGGGACGAAAGCUGGGGGAGCAAACCGGAUUAGAUACCCGGGUAGUCCCAGCUGUAAACGAUGCGCGUUAGGUGUAUCGGUGACCACGAGUCACCGAGGUGCCGAAGAGAAAUCGUGAAACGUGCCGCCUGGGAAGUACGGUCGCAAGGCUGAAACUUAAAGGAAUUGGCGGGGGAGCAC